rnacentral:rRNA from 1 species
GAGUCGAGCGGACAGAUGGGAGCUUGCUCCCUGAUGUUAGCGGCGGACGGGUGAGUAACACGUGGGUAACCUGCCUGUAAGACUGGGAUAACUCCGGGAAACCGGGGCUAAUACCGGAUGGUUGUUUGAACCGCAUGGUUCAAACAUAAAAGGUGGCUUCGGCUACCACUUACAGAUGGACCCGCGGCGCAUUAGCUAGUUGGUGAGGUAACGGCUCACCAAGGCAACGAUGCGUAGCCGACCUGAGAGGGUGAUCGGCCACACUGGGACUGAGACACGGCCCAGACUCCUACGGGAGGCAGCAGUAGGGAAUCUUCCGCAAUGGACGAAAGUCUGACGGAGCAACGCCGCGUGAGUGAUGAAGGUUUUCGGAUCGUAAAGCUCUGUUGUUAGGGAAGAACAAGUACCGUUCGAAUAGGGCGGUACCUUGACGGUACCUAACCAGAAAGCCACGGCUAACUACGUGCCAGCUACCGCGGUAAUACGUAGGUGGCAAGCGUUGUCCGGAAUUAUUGGGCGUAAAGGGCUCGCAGGCGGUUUCUUAAGUCUGAUGUGAAAGCC